AACGAACGCUGGCGGCAUGCCUAACACAUGCAAGUCGAACGAGACCGUCGGGUCUAGUGGCGCACGGGUGCGUAACGCGUGGGAACCUGCCCGUAGGUUCGGAAUAACUCCCCGAAAGGGGUGCUAAGACCGGAUAAUGUCUUCGGACCAAAGAUUUAUCGCCUUUGGAUGGGCCCGCGUUGGCUUAGCUAGUUGGUAGGGUAAAAGCCUACCAAGGCGACGAUCCCUAGCUGGUCGGAGAGGAUGAUCCGCCACACUGGGACUGAGACACGGCCCAGACUCCUACGGGAGGCAGCAGUGGGGAAUAUAGGACAAUGGGCGAAAGCCUGAUCCCGCAAUGCCGCGUGAGUGAUGAAGGCCUUAGGGUUGUACAGCUCUUUUACCCGGGAUGAUACUGACAGUACCGGGAGAAUAAGCACCGGCUAACUCCGUG
rnacentral:rRNA from 1 species